rnacentral:lncRNA from 1 species
UGAGUUCAUAUGGGAUGGGACCUUCUGAACCCUUUUAGACAGGGCCGGCGCCACCUGCUGUGACAACUCUUGAGAAGACUAGAAAACCAGAUAGAAUGAGGCAGCAUGGAGGAAUAAGUCACAGCUGGCCAUGCUCCUGCAUCAGCUCUACUCCUUUUCUGCCUAGUGAAUCUGAACUAGAAAAUUAAAGCCUUCAGUUGGAAUGAUGUCAGCCCUACUUGGGAGUAGGGUGAAGUUGGCAGCUCCAGUGAGCCCUUGUAGCAGAAGAGUGUCAGGAUAGUGUUCUGCCCAGCACCAGAGUGGAAUAUGUCAGACCACUCGCAGCACUGCUGUUUGAUCUUAUCGGGCUGCCGCGAAGGUGAAGCUUAGAUGCCUGGAGAACAUUAAACAAACCUUACUGACUUCCCAUAGAGAAGACGGUUCAGCUCGGCACCGUGGGGUUGAGAAAUAAACACUGCAGAAUGGAAACAAAGAACAUUGAUGAAGCACUUGGGUGAACUCGGGUAAGACAGUUCUCCAAUCAAGUUAUCAAAGCCGAAUUCCUGUUAGUCCUUUUGGAACUCCUUUUGCUUAUGAAGCAGAUAUGGAUUGGAGGGCAGACUGGUCCCUAUUGUUGUUCUGCAGGCUUGCUUGUGUUAGGUCAGCAUGUUAGUUCCCCUACCUCUGUAAAGACUGAGAACCACAUUUGGAAUCAGGACAGGAAGUACACCCCCUCCUUAAACCCUUUACUUUCUGGAGAAGUCACGGGUGGUGAAGAUGUUUCCUGCCAUUCUUUACAGAAGCAAGAGUCGCUUUAGGGUUGUUUCAUUAUCAGUGGAGUAGUUGUCCCAUGGACCUCUGCCCUUUAAGAGUGAAAGAGCAGUCAAGACAGCCCACUAGCCUCACGUCGUCACAGUUGCAAGCAAGCAAACCUGCCAUCUUCCUGUAUUAUCUACAAAUGGUGUUUGUUUCCUUUGACGUAUAUUCUAACACUUGGGGCAGGAGGGAUUUCUCGAAAAAACAAUAUUGUUGAGUAUACCAAUUCCCUGCCCCCAGCCAUCCUUUCUGUUUCCUUUUCAAGGCUCCAGGAAUUGCUAAAUGGCAUAUCCUGGACAACCAACACUCUUCAGCUAAAAAUACCAGAGGGUGAGCUUAUCUCGAGCAAUGCUUCCUCUCCAGGGUGUUCAUAGACAUUAUCUCAUUUAUUCGUAAAAACACCCUGUGAGGUAGGGCGUGGCCAAAGAACUGGAUCCCAGAAAGGUAAGGAAGCUUUAAGACAAAAAGGCACUGGUAGAAGUUCCAUUUUGAAGCCCAGCAGAAGAGCUCAGACGUGUAACUUUCAAGCUGUAGAAUCCACUCGCCAGGCAUCAGUGACUUGGCUCCAGGAGCCCAGAGACCCCUUAUGAAAAAAAAAUAUAAAACAAGACUCCUGGCAUACAGGAAAAGACAGAGCUUAGCGGAAAUUGGAUCCCCAAAGCUACUUCUUCAGGGUGAUGAUGAUUUCUUUGUUAUCUAUAACAAAGUGGAGAAGAGCCUGAUCAUCUUUUCAAAUUGUCCCAUUGCCCCCCUAACCUCAUCUGCUAGCAUGGCUUCAGGUCUCACCUACACAAACUGGAACAACUGGCUCAAUUGUCUCCGCGAAACGGGAUAUAUAUCUCUCCCUUCUAGAAGUCAGACAUGACUUGCUUAUACAUACUUCAAAAACAGAUUCCAUAAUCAACAAAAUACAUUGUUCUGACAGUCUAUGUAUUGUCUUAUAUUCCUUUUCUCAAGACUUGGUCCCAUGCCCAAACCUGAGAGUCAUGGCAGCUUCUAGGUCCUCUUAGGAGCAUAUGCAAAUCCUGUUCUUCCCACCCAUAUUCAUACCCAAGGAGAAUAAGCUUGGGAGCAUAAACUACUGAGCUCCCUCCUCUCUGUCUGCCAGCUGAUUUAGCAGGAGGUUAAGGGAAGACAAGAGUAUGUUGUUAGUUUUACCUUAUUUCUUCCCUGUAGGGCAACUAUGACUGAGUCCUGCCCACAAGGCCAGCUCCUCCUUCAAACACUGCUCUUUGUCUGGGUUUUCAGUAAGCAUCACUUCCUGAUGGCCACCAGCCUGGAAGUUUUAAAGGAUCCUCCUGCUAAUGUUGCCAGUUCUUUUGUCGUCCCUAUUUUAUGUAUUAAAGCCGCAACACAUUCUGUAAAUGUUUCCUUCGUAAACUUGUUACAGCUCCUAGAGAGAAUGGAUUCCAUUGGUCCUAGUUUGCUUUUCUGGUCUUGUAAGAAAACCAUGAUCAAAU